UUGAUAAAGAUAUUAAGAAUCUAUCAUUAGUUUUACAAAAAAAUAAUUUUCCUCAAAACAUUAUUGAUUCUGAAAUUAAAUCCUAUAAUAUAGAAUUCCUAUCCUAUAUUAUAGGAUUAAGGAUCCUAUAUUAUAGGAUUAACACAUAAGGAUUAACACAUCCUAUAUUAUAGAUUAACACAUAUAGGAUUAACACAUUCUAUAUUAUAGGAUCCUAUAUUAUAGGAUUAACACAUAAGCAAAGUUGGAAUACACAUAUAGUUAGAGUUUACAAACAUUUGACGAAAAAGAAACAUGUGAACAAUUUCUAUCUAUAUAUACGUGUUCAAGUGCCAGCAAAACGGACAAUACAAAAGAAGAAGCAUUAAUUGUUAUUUCCUUGUUAACUGUUGUCUGUCAUUAACAAAGCAAGUAAAAAAUGUACAUAAUGACAACUGUGCUCUAGUUUGCCAGCCC